CCUCCCCUCAGCGAACAAAGGGCGAGGGCGGGCGGCGUGCGGGGCGAUCGCGGUCGCCCCGCCGGCCCUGCAGGCCGAAAACAAGUCUGAAAGAGCCGCAUGGGAACAAAAAGACACGCAGCUGAACCCACAAAUGGUGUUUGAGUUCAGAGCUGGGAGAGGCAGAGCCUCCACACCACGUUAAAUGGGAGUGUUCCGGGCUGCCGAGCGGGAAAGGGCGGGAGAGGCCACAGGCCUUAAAAUGCUGCUCACAAGAGGCUGGCAAGUGAUAAAUAUCUUCAUAGCAUGGUGUGAGGAGAGACUGCGGGAGCUGGGCCUGAUGGGACCUCACAUAAACCAGGCAGGAGACAUGUCACCAAAAUGGAAUCAUUUCCCACCAGAACUCAUACUGAAACCCUAAUUCAUAUUGAAAAGUCUGUGCUCUGCCAUGUCUUCAAAUCCAUGGAAUUUGGGUAAGGAAGAAGAGUUUAUAGCACAUUUACACCCAGCCAAUGCUUUCACCACACCUCUUCUUCUGUAAAAAUACAAAUGUUGCAAUA